UUUUAGUCGGUUGAGCGCCGGCAGAAAGCGCACCGUUGGCGAAACUAAGGGCCUCGUCAUUCAUAUGCCUGUAAUAACGUGCAACAAGGUCAUUCCAGGAAAUAUAACAUGAGAUCCAAUCAUUUAACCAAUCGAACAUACAACAAAACCUUAUUACAUCACACGGAAUGUAAAGUCUUGACAUGUUCCGCAGAAACAGGGUGGUCUUUAUGCUCCAACUCCAAGACCUUGAUCUCAAACUUUUCACUAACUGGAUU